GCCACCCUCUUCCCAUGGUCCUGUGUGCUGAGUUGAGUGGGACCCAUGGAGGCCACACAGGAAGGGCUUGCUAUAAUCUCAUCUCUGCAGCAUUGUUACUGCAGAGUAAGGAGCAGCAGGAGGCCUUCUUCAAGGUCUUUAGUUUUUCUCUGCUACUGAAAGUCAGAAAGGAAGUACCAGCGGAAGGAGCCGCCCGUCGUCCCCUCGCGUCCCGCGAAGGCCUCGGGGCAGUCCCGGCCCGGCCGGGCCCUGCCCG
rnacentral:lncRNA from 1 species